CCUACGGGUGGCAGCAGUGAGGAAUAUUGGUCAAUGGACGAGAGUCUGAACCAGCCAAGUAGCGUGAAGGAUGACUGCCCUCUGGGUUGUAAACUUCUUUUAUAUGGGAAUAAAAUGUUCCAAGUGUGUGAUUUUGUAUGUACCAUAUGAAUAAGGAUCGGCUAACUCCGUGCCAGCAGCCGAGGUAAUACGGAGGAUCCUAGCGUUAUCCGGAUUUAAUGGGGUUAAAGGGAGCGUAGGUGGAUUGUUAAGUCAGUUGGGAAAGUUUCCGGCUCAACCGUAAAAUUGCAGUGGAAACUGGUAGUGUUGAGUACAGGAGAGGUGAGCGGAAUUCGUGGUGUAGCGGUGAAAUGCUUAGAUAUCACGAAGAACACCGAUGGCGAAGGCAGUUCACUGGACGGCAACUGACGCUGAGGCUCGAAAGCGUGGGUAGCAAACAGGAUUAGAUACCCUUGUAGUC
rnacentral:rRNA from 1 species